GGGAACCCGGUGGGAAUCCGGGACUGGCGCGCAACGGUGACGGACCCCGGGUGGGGUCCGAAGUCC
rnacentral:ncRNA from 2 species